GAUGAACGCUGGCGGCGUGCCUAAUACAUGCAAGUCGAGCGAACAGACGAGGAGCUUGCUCCUCUGACGUUAGCGGCGGACGGGUGAGUAACACGUGGAUAACCUACCUAUAAGACUGGGAUAACUUCGGGAAACCGGAGCUAAUACCGGAUAAUAUAUUGAACCGCAUGGUUAAUAGUGAAAGACGGUUUUGCUGUCACUUAUAGAUGGAUCCGCGCCGCAUUAGCUAGUUGGUAAGGUAACGGCUUACCAAGGCGACGAUGCGUAGCCGACCUGAGAGGGUGAUCGGCCACACUGGAACUGAGACACGGUCCAGACUCCUACGGGAGGCAGCAGUAGGGAAUCUUCCGCAAUGGGCGAAAGCCUGACGGAGCAACGCCGCGUGAGUGAUGAAGGUCUUCGGAUCGUAAAACUCUGUUAUUAGGGAAGAACAAAUGUGUAAGUAACUAUGCACGUCUUGACGGUACCUAAUCAGAAAGCCACGGCUAACUACGUG
rnacentral:rRNA from 1 species